rnacentral:rRNA from 1 species
GGUAAAGGCCUACCAAGGCGACGAUGGAUAGCCGGCCUGAGAGGGUGAUCGGCCACACUGGGACUGAGACACGGCCCAGACUCCUACGGGAGGCAGCAGCUAAGAAUCUUCCGCAAUGGGCGAAAGCCUGACGGAGCGACGCCGCGUGGACGAGGAAGGCCGAAAGGUUGUAAAGUCCUUUUCUCAGGGAAGAAUAAAGCAAAGAAUGGAAUACUUUGAAGAUGACAUUAACUGGGGAAUAAGCCCCGGCCAAUUACGUGCCAGCAGCCGCGGUAAUACGUAUGGGGCGAGCGUUGUUCGGAAUUAUUGGGCGUAAAGGGCGUGUAGGCGGUUUUAUAAGCCUGGUGUGAAAUACCACAGCUCAACUGUGGAAACGCGCUGGGAACUGUAAGACUAGAGUUCAGGAGGGGAAGCUGGAAUUCCUGGUGUAGGGGUGAAAUCUGUAGAUAUCAGGAAGAACACCGAUGGCGAAGGCAAGCUUCUGGCCAUGGACUGACGCUGAGGCGCGAAAGCGUGGGGAGCGAACAGGAUUAGAUACCCUGGUAGUCCACGCCGUAAACGAUGUUCACUGGGUGUAGGGAGCGUUGAGUUCUCUGUGCCGUAGCUAACGCGUUAAGUGCACCGCCUGGGGAGUAUGCCCGCAAGGGUGAAACUCAAAGGAAUUGACGGGGGCCCGCACAAGCGGUGGAGCAUGUGGUUUAAUUCGAUACGCGAGGAACCUUACCAGGGCUUGACAUGCACCUGAAGGCUUAAGAGAUUAAGUCGACCCUUAGGGGACGGGUGCACAGGUGCUGCAUGGCUGUCGUCAGCUCGUGUCGUGAGAUGUUGGGUUAAGUCCCGCAACGAGCGCAACCCUUACUGUCUGUUGCCAACAGGUCUUCGGACGCUGGGGACUCAGAUAGAACUGCCGGUGACAAACCGGAGGAAGGUGGGGAUGACGUCAAGUCAUCAUGACCCUUAUGUCCUGGGCUACACACGUGCUACAAUGGCCGGUACAGAGCGUUGCUAGACGGUGACGUCCUGGCAAAUCGCAAAAAGCCGGUCUCAGUUCGGAUUGGAGUCUGAAACCCGACUCCAUGAAGUUGGAAUCGCUAGUAAUCGCGCAUCAGAAUGGCGCGGUGAAUAUGUUCCCGGGCCUUGUACACACCGCCCGUCACACCACCCGAGUUGGGGGUACCCGAAGUCGCUAGUCUAACUUUAAUUAGAGGACGGCGCCGAAGGUAUGCCUGGUAAGGGGGGUGAAGUCGUAACAAGGUA